ACGGGAGGCAGCAGUAGGGAAUCUUCCACAAUGGACGAAAGUCUGAUGGAGCAACGCCGCGUGAGUGAAGAAGGGUUUCGGCUCGUAAAGCUCUGUUGGUAGUGAAGAAAGAUAGAGGUAGUAACUGGCCUUUAUUUGACGGUAAUUACUUAGAAAGUCACGGCUAACUACGUGCCAGCAGCCGCGGUAAUACGUAGGUGGCAAGCGUUGUCCGGAUUUAUUGGGCGUAAAGCGAGUGCAGGCGGUUCAAUAAGUCUGAUGUGAAAGCCUUCGGCUCAACCGGAGAAUUGCAUCAGAAACUGUUGAACUUGAGUGCAGAAGAGGAGAGUGGAACUCCAUGUGUAGCGGUGGAAUGCGUAGAUAUAUGGAAGAACACCAGUGGCGAAGGCGGCUCUCUGGUCUGCAACUGACGCUGAGGCUCGAAAGCAUGGGUAGCGAACAGGAUUAGAUACCCUGGUA
rnacentral:rRNA from 2 species